AUUCUAUGUUUUCUGGAUAAAGUCAAGCAAUCAAGACCCAUUGGCCUAAAAAGGGGAUAUGCAAGGGAGGAAAAGGAUGACUCAGGAGAGGACAACAGGCCCAGGGGACCCAGAAGAGGACAGCAGAACCAAAAUCGCAAACUAAGUAAAGCAAAGCAACAGGGUUGUGCGACAACUGAUGCCUGCAGUAUGAAAGGAGGAAAGUGCAAGGCAAAGUGUAGGAAAAAUGCCGAUUCAAGCCUAUGUAGUGGCGACUGCACUUGCUGUGGAGCAUGUGCGGCAAAAGGCAAGUGUAACCGUUAUGAUGGAGUAUGCAAGCAAUCUUGCGAUGCAACAGAGCGGGUGAUAAAGGGAGGAUGCACGAAUAAAAAGAAAUGUACUUGUUGUGCUCCACCGUGCGAACAAAAUGGGUGCCAAGGUCAAUGUGUCAGCAAAAGGAAAGAAUGCAAUGGGAAUUUCAUCAAGAAUGGCUGUGGCGGAAAUAAAUGCCAUUGCUGCAGUUCGGUUGGUAAGUUGUAAAACAUGCCAGGGUAAAAAAGGUGUCAACUAAAAAAGGUAAGUUUCUCUCUGUUCAUGCAUACUAUUCAGAUCUCUUAGUCUUUUCAACAAAACAGUAAGUAUCUGAAAAUAAGCUGAAGUAGCUUGCAAUUUCUCUAGAGCUAACCAGACCCAAACGAUAUUCACUGCAUCAAGGCUUUGAUCAGAAGGGUGGGUAAUUAGGCAGGACGAUGGCUGAGAACCUUUGCAGAGAAAUGACUACUCCAUGCACUCCAAGAAGUCAGAAAUGAUCCCUACAUGGUAAAGCAGCAACCAAGCACAGCUGUGAUCAACUCUACGACAGUUUGAAUAACUUCAAACAGAACCUCCUUGGAAUUCAACUUAAGCUUUUCUUUUACUGGAGAUCCUCAAGGCUUCAUACAAAUCAUUUCAUAUCUGUGAUAAUAAAAGUUAAUGAUUAAAAUCUG